AUGCACGGUGUGAGUUUUGGAGUUGAAAUCACACCAGACAGCACUGAGGAAUCUGCUGCAGCGGGUUCAACUGUUACUUUAUCCUGCAGUUAUUCCUCUGCACACUCACUUCAAUGGUACCGUCAGUAUCCCGGAUCAGCUCCUCAAUUUCUUGUGCUCAUAAUAGAGAGUGUGAAAGAGACUAAGACAUCUGAUGUAGAUCCCAGGUUCUCUACUAAGCUCAGAAAAGAAAAACAAGUCACAAAAGAAAUCAAACGUGUGGAUCUGGUGAUCUCCUCAGCUGUUCAGAAAGACUCUGCUAUGUAUUAUUGUGAUCUGACGUCCACACACUGA